AUUGAACGCUGGCGGCAGGCCUAACACAUGCAAGUCGAGCGGAGCGGCGGACGGGUGAGUAAUGCCUAGGAAUCUGCCUGGUAGUGGGGGAUAACGUCCGGAAACGGGCGCUAAUACCGCAUACUAACCGAUGCGCCUAGGUCGGCUUGGUUAGUUGGUGGGUGAAAGGCCUACAAAGGCGACGAUCCGUAACUGGUCUGAGAGGAUGAUCAGUAACACUGGAACUGAGAGACGGGCCAGACUCCUACGGGAGGCAGCAGUGGGGAAGAUUGGACAAUGGGCGAAAGCCUGAUCCAGCCAUGCCGCGUGUGUGAAGAAGGUCUUCGGAGUGUAAAGCACUUUAAGUUGGGAGGCGUUACCAACAGAAUAAGCACCGGCUAACUUCGUGCCAGCAGCCGCGGUAAUAC
rnacentral:rRNA from 1 species